rnacentral:rRNA from 1 species
AGAGUUUGAUCAUGGCUCAGAUUGAACGCUGGCGGCAUGCCUUACACAUGCAAGUCGAACGGUAACAGGGAGCUUGCUCCGCUGACGAGUGGCGAACGGGUGAGUAAUAUAUCGGAACGUGCCCUGGAGUGGGGGAUAACUAGUCGAAAGAUUAGCUAAUACCGCAUACGAUCUAAGGAUGAAAGUGGGGGAUCGCAAGACCUCAUGCUCGUGGAGCGGCCGAUAUCUGAUUAGCUAGUUGGUGGGGUAAAAGCCCACCAAGGCGACGAUCAGUAGCUGGUCUGAGAGGACGACCAGCCACACUGGGACUGAGACACGGCCCAGACUCCUACGGGAGGCAGCAGUGGGGAAUUUUGGACAAUGGGCGCAAGCCUGAUCCAGCAAUGCCGCGUGAGUGAAGAAGGCCUUCGGGUUGUAAAGCUCUUUUGUCAGGGAAGAAACGGUGCGGGCUAAUAUCCUGUGCUAAUGACGGUACCUGAAGAAUAAGCACCGGCUAACUACGUGCCAGCAGCCGCGGUAAUACGUAGGGUGCGAGCGUUAAUCGGAAUUACUGGGCGUAAAGCGUGCGCAGGCGGUUAUGUAAGACAGAUGUGAAAUGCCCGGGCUUAACCUGGGAACUGCAUUUGUGACUGCAUGGCUAGAGUGUGUCAGAGGGGGGUAGAAUUCCACGUAGCAGUGAAAUGCGUAGAUAUGUGGAGGAAUACCGAUGGCGAAGGCAGCCCCCUGGGAUAACACUGACGCUCAUGCACGAAAGCGUGGGGAGCAAACAGGAUUAGAUACCCUAGUAGUCC